GUAGAUAUAGUUUAAACAAAACAUUAGAUUGUGAUUCUAAAGAUAGGAGCUAAAACCCCCUUAUCCACC
rnacentral:tRNA from 1 species